AAUCCUGUGGCCGGGUCCGUGGAGUACGACAGCGGGCUGGAGAAGCUGGCCGCGGCCGAGGCGGAGAAAGCAGCCGAUCCAGGAUACGGACUGAAGGCGGAGCCGGAGGACGACCUCGCCAGGUCUUCAUUCCGCGGGGCGGCCAGAGCCGAGGCCCCGUAAGCCGGACACGAAUACAGAGCCAGCGAGCCCGGCGGCUGAUAGAGGGUCAUGGGGAGUGCUGGAGCCUCGCUCAGCUGCAUUCGGGCGGAAGGUGUACAGGCGUGUCAAACUCCUUUUCAUUGAGGGCCUUGGCGCAGUUAUGGCUGACUUCAGACGGCCGUUUGUAAGAGUUGACAUAAAAAAAUUUAAAAAAUAAAAUCAUUGUAAAUUCACAGCAAAUUAUUGGCUGAUAAUUGCAUUACUUUCCCUGUAACAGUUACAGUAACUUACUGUAAAAAAAAAAUACUGUAACUGCAGUGCUGUGAUUUUAUUGUUAAUUGUAAUACCAUUGGAACAAAAUAUUGUAACGACAUAAUCAUAAUUCUGGGGUUAAUGACAACAAAAUUACAACUAAAUGCUGUUACUUCCCAAUUGUAUCAUUGUGGUUAAUUGCACUCUCAGUUUAACAGCAUUCCACCAUCAGUGAACUGAAUAAGAACAAAAGAUAGAACGGCUUUCACAAACAGUUGGAAUUUUCAGUAGUUUGCUGUGAUAUUACAGAUGACUUUGAUAACAGUAUUUUAUUUUGAAAUUACAGUAAAUUGUUUGUUGUAAUGUUACAGUAUUUUACUGUAAAAAAACAACAACAACUGUUAAAUGUUGACAAUGUAAAUGUAUCAUCACCUCGUAUUAUUACACAACGGCCUAUACAAUUGAUUUUUUUUUUUUUUUUACAUACAAAAUGAGUAAUAACUUGUUCUGAAAUCAUAAGGAACGGUGACAAGCAGA